AUGUCAAUGCUAAAUCGAGAACGGUUACACAGAAAGACAUCAAACAGGAAACUGAUCCUAGCACAGCCCCGUGUUCCUUUGUACCUCCUCGUUUCAGCUCCUCAAGGCCCAGCCUGCAGCAGAGGAGCCGGCCCUUGGCCUUUCAGCACAUGUGGCCCCUGCAGCCUGCGUCCUGUUGACGCCCCAGCAACCCAACAGCCCACAGCAAUCCAACAGCCUGUGCUCCCAAUCCCUUCCGUUCCAUUGUGCAGCCGUAAGCAAGCUACUGCUGGGCACCUUCAUGGCCAGAUGGUGUGGCCGCACGCCGGCACAGCCUCCACCAUUUCCCAUGGAAGUGACCCCGCAGGAAGGACUGCUGGAGCUGCUCCCCGAGGCACAACCCAGCACAGGUCUGCCCAGAACAAUGCAGAGGCCACAGGCGUCCCGCAGGAAGGCUGUGGCAGAAAAGAAAAUACAGCACCAAGGCCCUGA
ensembl:lncRNA